UUCCCAUCCACCCAGUCGAGGGGGGGGUACUUGUACCCUCAGUUGUGGAAAUUGAGAUUCAGAGAUAUUUAUGUAAGUUGCCCGGGAUCAUACUUCUUCUCACAAGAUUCACUGCCUACCACAACCUGUUCGUCUGUUUUGCUCUUCCAUGGAGCAUAUCCCUUCUUUUGUUCCAGCAUCCAGCCUACUCCACAGUUUUUCAACAAUCCUGCCUCGUCCAGUGGUCACUCGUGGGGAUACCAUUUCUCUUGCCAGGAAUUGGUGUAGGGAUGAGUAUGUGACACAGUUCUGGACUAUGAGUCACAAGAGGAAGUUAGCUGGAAGGCUUCUAGAAAAGAGUUUGUCACUCUGGGAAGUAGUUCCCAUUUUUGCUGCGGGAUGUUACCUGACCUCCGCAUGACGUCAGAAUUGGGGCAAUUGUUUCAUAACAAGGGGAGUUCCCCCAGAGGACACUCUAAAGGUGGGAGGAGCCUAAAGGACAGGAGUGAUGACGUCCCUUGUCUGGAAGCUAACCAACCCUAUAGUGCUCUCCCUCUAUGUGUACCAUUCUGUGAGAGGAACAAAACCUCUCUGAAGCCUCCACCUCCCAGCUUCAUGGACACGGUCCUGGGAUCCAGUCUUCUACCCUCAACACCAGAUCUGCCAGGUUUUCCGUCCCACUCUUAUUUUGUUGCCUUGGGAUAA
rnacentral:lncRNA from 12 species